GCGGGGGCCGGGGUCUGCGGCGGGGGCCGGGGCCGACCCUCCGGGGCGAGGCGGGGCGGGGAGAGCAGCCCGCCCGCCCUCCCUCCAUCCAUCCUUCUUUCCCUCCCUCCCUCCCUCCCUCCCGCCUCCGGGCGGCCGGGCGUAGCGCUGCGUCUCCUCGGAGCCGAGCCGAGCGGUGGCCGCGGCGGCCUUCACCCUUCCUCUCCUUGCCGGCGGCGGGGCUGGGGGCGCGGCGGAGGCCGAGGCCUUGCCCGCGGCGGGAGGAAAUGGAGGCGGAGGCGGCAGGGCCGGGCGGCGGCAGAAGCAGGGGCUGAGCGGGGGCGGGGAGGCGCCGCCGCCCGCAGCCGAGCGGGGGGUUAUGCAGCAGCAGCAGCAGCCGGGGCCGCCGGAGCGGGCCGGCCGCGCCGCCGUGUGAGGCGGGCCCCCGGCGGGAGCGGCGCGCCUCGCCGCUGGGGGCCGAGGCUGCGGGGAGCGGCGCUGAAGGGGAGACAGGAAGCAACAGCUUUAUAUGGCUCAUGUCUGACAACAUGCACCACCAGUGGCUGCUGCUAGCUGCAUGCUUUUGGGUGAUAUUCAUGUUCAUGGUUGCUAGCAAGUUUAUCACGUUGACUUUUAAAGACCCAGAUGGUAAGUUCAACUUUAAUGUUUGAUACGAAACAGAAAAUUGAGUAGUCCUCUUUCUGUGCAAAGUAGUUCUUGGCAUGUUACUGCUUCUUCACUAGGACUGAGAACAGAGCAACUAAUUUUCUAGAAGUGACAGUGCUGAUAUUCAGUUUCUGCUUUUCUUGGUAGAAGUCUACAGAACUAACAUCAUGUCUUUUUUUGGAGGUUAAGAACUGAGGAGCUUGCGUUCGGCAGUAGUGUCUUGUGAUGUUUGCUUUUUCAAAUACACUCAGUUUCAGUAUCUUGAUCUACUCGGAGUAGAAGUCACAACAGAGCACAGCUACCUGUGCAGAGCUAAACAACAGAGCACAGCUGCCUGUUUAAAGGCAAAGGAGAUUCACAAGGAAUUAAAGAGUUUCUGUCCCCUUGUGACUGCUUGUCCUAUGGCUGCAGUAUUAUGUAAAACUUGUGGAAAAUUUUAUUUUAUUUGCAAUGCACUUAGCUUAGCCACCUCUGCCCUGCUUCUUGCAUUCAGUUUCAUCCUCUGCUGUUUGACUGACAAACAGCUUAUAGGCUUUUGCUUAGCUUAAGUAGCCCAGAUGGUAUUAAGCCUAUGAGGAAUUUAAGCCAUUUGAUGACACCACACAGCAUGUUACAGUUUUCUGUCUGCUGAGGAGCUACUGUUACAAAGCCAUCCUACAGGGAGUUUAGGGUGAAGGUGAUGACAUGACUUAGAGUCCUAAGAGAUGUAUUUCUGCCUCUUCCUAAGAUAUGCAAAAAAUGUGUAACUCUUGAAGCGCUGAUGUCAUUAGUGCCAUUUGUUUCAAUAACUUGAUAGUGGAUAAGUAUAUUAGGUGUGCCUUUUUAAAUAGCAUACCUCUGUGUGGAGGGUUAUUCAGCAAGUCUUACAGAUGAGAACAGUAGGCUAAUGGGGCUUUCCUUGGUCCCA
rnacentral:lncRNA from 1 species